UACGGAGGGUGCGAGCGUUGUCCGGAUUUAUUGGGUUUAAAGGGUGCGUAGGCGGCCUUAUAAGUCAGCGGUGAAAUACCCAGGCUCAACCUGGGGGGUGCCGUUGAUACUGUAUGGCUUGAGUGCGUUCCGUGUACAUGGAAUUUAUGGUGUAGCGGUGAAAUGCAUAGAUACCAUAAGGAACACCGAUAGCGAAGGCAUUGUACAGGGGCGUAACUGACGCUGAGGCA
rnacentral:rRNA from 1 species